rnacentral:rRNA from 1 species
GACGAACGCUGGCGGCGUGCUUAACACAUGCAAGUCGAGCGGAAAGGCCACUUCGGUGGUACUCGAGCGGCGAACGGGUGAGUAACACGUGAGUAAUCUGCCCCUGGCUUUGGGAUAGCCACCGGAAACGGUGAUUAAUACCGGAUAUGACCACUUCACGCAUGUGUUGUGGUGGAAAGUUUUUCGGCCAGGGAUGUGCUCGCGGCCUAUCAGCUUGAUGGUGAGGUAAUGGCUCACCAUGGCUUCGACGGGUAGCCGGCCUGAGAGGGUGACCGGUCACACUGGGACUGAGACACGGCCCAGACUCCGACGGGAGGCAGCAGUGGGGAAUAUUGGACAAUGGGCGGAAGCCUGAUCCAGCAACGCCGCGUGAGGGAUGACGGCCUUCGGGUUGUAAACCUCUUUCAGUACCGACGAAGCGUAAGUGACGGUAGGUACAGAAGAAGCACCGGCCAACUACGUGCCAGCCGCCGCAGUAAGAC